GUCGAGAAUCAUUCACAAUGGGGGAAACCCUGAUGGUGCGACGCCGCGUGGGGGAAUGAAGGUCUUCGGAUUGUAAACCCCUGUCAUGUGGGAGCAAAUUAAAAAGAUAGUACCACAAGAGGAAGAGACGGCUAACUCUGUGCCAGCAGCCGCGGUAAUACAGAGGUCUCAAGCGUUGUUCGGAAUCACUGGGCGUAAAGCGUGCGUAGGCUGUUUCGUAAGUCGUGUGUGAAAGGCGCGGGCUCAACCCGCGGACGGCACAUGAUACUGCGAGACUAGAGUAAUGGAGGGGGAACCGGAAUUCUCGGUGUAGCAGUGAAAUGCGUAGAUAUCGAGAGGAACACUCGUGGCGAAGGCGGGUUCCUGGACAUUAACUGACGCUGAGGCACGAAGGCCAGGGGAGCGAAAGGGA
rnacentral:rRNA from 1 species